GGAGUUGUGGCUCAUUGGUAGAGUGCACGCCUAGCAUGUGUGAGACCCUGGGUUCAAGAUCCUCGGCACCA
rnacentral:tRNA from 1 species